GACGAACGCUGGCGGCGUGCUUAACACAUGCAAGUCGAACGGUGAAGCGCAUUCCUUUUUGGUGGGUGUGGAUGAGUGGCGAACGGGUGAGUCACACGUGCGUAACCUGCCCCCUUUUUCAGGAUAACCGCAUGAAGGAGUGGAUAAUAAGGGAUAUUCUGGGUCUGUCGCAUGAUGGGUAUGGGAAAGAUUUUGUUUCGGUGGGGGAUGGGCUCGCGGCCUAUCAGCUCGUUGGUGGGGUGAUGGCCUACCAAGGCGGCGACGAGUAGCCGGCCUGCGGGGCGUGGCGAUAUGACUGGGACUGAAAGACAGCCCGGACUCCUACAGGAGGCAGCAGUGGCGAAUAUUGCACAAUGUGCGCAAUCCUGAUGCAACGACGCGGCGUGAGUGAUGGAGGUCUUCGGGUUGUGAACGUCUUUCGCGAGUGAAGCAGGCUUGCCUCAUGUGUGGUUGGGUUGACGGUAGCUAGAUAAGAAGCGCCGGCUAACUACGUG
rnacentral:rRNA from 1 species